rnacentral:rRNA from 1 species
AGUGAACGCUGGCGGUAGGCCUAACACAUGCAAGUCGAACGGCAGCACAGUAAGAGCUUGCUCUUACUGAUGGCGAGUGGCGGACGGAUGAGGAAUACAUCUGAAUCUACUUUUUCGAUGGGGAUAAGGAAGGGAAACUUAUGCUGAUAAUUCAUACCACAUGAGAGAGAAAGCACGGGAUGUUGGGACCGCGCCCGAUUGAGUGAGCCGAUGGCUGAUUAGCUAGUUGGCGGGGUAAAUGCCCACCAAGGCGACGAUCCGUAGCUGGCAUGAGAGGAUGAUCAGCCACACUGGAAGUGAGAAACGGUCCAGACUCCUACGGGAGGCAGCAGUGGGGAAUAUUGGACAAUGGGGGAAAGCCUGAUCCAGCCAUACCGGGGGGGUGAAGAAGGCCUUAGGGUUGUAAAGCCCUUUUGUUGGGAAAGAAAAGCAGCAGGUUAAUACACCGCUGUUCUGACGGUACCCAAAGAAAAAGCACCGGCUAACUUCGUG